UACGGAGGGUGCAAGCGUUGUCCGGAUUUAUUGGGUUUAAAGGGUGCGUAGGUGGCCCGUUAAGUCCGGGGUGAAAGCCCACAGCUCAACUGUGGAACUGCCCUGGAAACUGGAGAACUUGAGUACAGACGAGGGCGGCGGAAUGGAUGGUGUAGCGGUGAAAUGCAUAGAUACCAUCCAGAACCCCGAUUGCGAAGGCAGCUGCCUAGACUGUAACUGACGCUGAGGCACGAAAGCGUGGGGAGCGAACAGG
rnacentral:rRNA from 1 species